ACGGAAGGCAGCAGUGGGGAAUAUUGCACAAUGGGGGAAACCCUGAUGCAGCAACGCCGCGUGAGUGAUGACGGCCUUCGGGUUGUAAAGCUCUGUCUUCAGGGACGAUAAUGACGGUACCUGAGGAGGAAGCCACGGCUAACUACGUGCCAGCAGCCGCGGUAAUACGUAGGUGGCGAGCGUUGUCCGGAUUUACUGGGCGUAAAGGGAGCGUAGGCGGAUUUUUAAGUGAGAUGUGAAAUACUCGGGCUUAACCUGAGUGCUGCAUUCCAAACUGGAAGUCUAGAGUGCAGGAGAGGAGAAGGGAAUUCCUAGUGUAGCGGUGAAAUGCGUAGAGAUUAGGAAGAACACCAGUGGCGAAGGCGCUUCUCUGGACUGUAACUGACGUUGAGGCUCGAAAGCGUGGGGAGCAAACAGGAUUAGAUACCCUGGUA
rnacentral:rRNA from 1 species